AUUGAACGCUGGCGGCAGGCCUAACACAUGCAAGUCGAACGAGUGGCGGACGGGUGAGUAAUUUCUGGGAAACUGCCUGAUGGAGGGGGAUAACUACUGGAAACGGUAGCUAAUACCGCAUACCAUCGGAUGUGCCCAGAUGGGAUUAGCUAGUGGGUGGGGUAAAGGCUCACCUAGGCGACGAUCCCUAGCUGGUCUGAAAGGAUGACCAGAAACACUGGGACAGAAACACGGUCCAGACGCCUACGGGAGGCAGCAGUGGGGAAUAUUGCACAAUGGGCGAAAGCCUGAUGAAGCCAUGCCGCGUGUAUGAAGAAGGCCUUCGGGUUGUAAAGUACGUUCAGCGGGGAGGCGUUACCCGAAGAAGAAGCACAGGCUAACUCCGUGCCAGCAGCCGCGGUAAUAC
rnacentral:rRNA from 1 species